rnacentral:rRNA from 1 species
UACGGAGGGGGCGAGCGUUAUUCGGAAUUAUUGGGCGUAAAGGGCGCGUAGGCGGCCUGGUCAGUCGAAGGUGAAAUCCCCGAGCUCAACUUGGGAACUGCCUUCGAUACUGCCGGGCUUGAGUCCGGGAGGGGAGAGUGGAAUUCCCAGUGUAGCGGUGAAAUGCGUAGAUAUUGGGAGGAACACCGGUGGCGAAGGCGGCAUCCUGGACCGGCAUUGACGCUGAGGCGCGAAAGCUAGGGGAGCAAACGGG